UCAGGGAUUAAUUCUACAGGGUCAAAU
rnacentral:piRNA from 1 species